rnacentral:rRNA from 1 species
GAUGAACGCUGGCGGCGUGCCUAAUACAUGCAAGUCGAGCGAACAGAUGAGGAGCUUGCUCCUCUGACGUUAGCGGCGGACGGGUGAGUAACACGUGGAUAACCUACCUAUAAGACUGGGAUAACUUCGGGAAACCGGAGCUAAUACCGGAUAAUAUAUUGAACCGCAUGGUUCAAUAGUGAAAGACGGUUUUGCUGUCACUUAUAGAUGGAUCCGCGCCGCAUUAGCUAGUUGGUAAGGUAACGGCUUACCAAGGCAACGAUGCGUAGCCGACCUGAGAGGGUGAUCGGCCACACUGGAACUGAGACACGGUCCAGACUCCUACGGGAGGCAGCAGUAGGGAAUCUUCCGCAAUGGGCAAAAGCCUGACGGAGCAACGCCGCGUGAGUGAUGAAGGUCUUCGGAUCGUAAAACUCUGUUAUUGGGGAAGAACAAAUGUGUAAGUAACUAUGCACGUCUUGACGGUACCUAAUCAGAAAGCGACGGCUAACUACGUG